GACGAAUUCCGCUGGCAUCCUCCAUAAGUGUCCCCAGGAGCUGCUAAACAGCUGAGCACCAGAGGCCUGACUUACUUGAAAUUUCAGCGGAAAAAAGCAAUGGAAUCUUGAAAUUUGCAGGAACAUGGAUGGAACUAGAAGAAACCAUUCUGAGCAAGGUAACCCAAUCACAAGAAGACAAACCUGGGUAUCCCCAAAGGGUACCAUGCUGGAACCUGGUCUCCAGGGUGACAGCACGAAGAGCUGAGACCCAGGCCUGAUGGAAGACUGCCUGGUCUCUGGUCUCUGUAGUUCCAUGGAACGAUGGCCAGUCCCAACGAGAGUGGAAUGCUGCCAGACAAUCCCCUUCUCAGUCCCUGGCUUCCUGCUUUGUCCCAUGGUCCCUUCAUCUGAUACAUGCUUCCAUCAUUAUGCCAUUUGCCAUGUUAUGUUGCAGAUGGGGGUUAGAGGGAGCUAUUAGAAGCUCAACAGAUGGAGCCAACUGAUUUCUAGCUCCA
rnacentral:lncRNA from 1 species